AGAUUCCUUGAGAGAGGAGCGGACGUGCAAGGAUUCGGCGCCAGGCUCUGCGUGUGCCGUUGGCGCGCUCUGGUUCUGCUCGGGGCUCCUCUAGCAGGUACUUCCAGAACGACCCCCCUCCUCCGCUCCCCACCGUGCCCACGCGGCUCCAAGGCCUUGCGCCCUCCUGCAGUGAAGGGUGGGGGUGUUGGGACCUGGAGUCAGGCCCGAGCUGCCCACGUUGGAAGCCGGGGGCGGGGGACAGCUCGGCUGGGCACCAAGGGCGCGGAGCCGGGCUGGCCGGGUGGAACCGGGUGGAACCGAAGCCGAGGCCCUCGUGGCCAAGGCCUCCAGGCGGCGUCCUUCCUCGGGCUGUGCCGCACCUCGGCCCUUUUGCUUGCCGCCAUCUGUGCGGUGGUGCCCAACGCAGGACUGGCGCUGCCCGCUGCCCGUGCCACACAGGACCCUUCUCCUAAGGCGCAAGAAGAAACCGUAGAAGGUAUUCCCCCAAAUAGGUUCCUGAUGGGAUGUGCCUCACGGAAAUGAGCAAAGGGACAAGAGGUGAGUGUUUGAGCCCCGCCCAGAAACUGGUGCCCACGGUUCUUGUCUCUGGCAGACCACCUCCGACCUGGAGAGCGCCUUCUACACAUUCCAGC
rnacentral:lncRNA from 1 species